GUGCUCCUGACCUACUUUCUCUUUCUAGCUGUGAGAACUCUGCAGAUGAGUACUUGACCAUCUUUCACCCAGUCUCCAGCAAUGCAAGAGUGCUGUUCCCUUCCCAUCUGAAAAGGUUUGAAGUGAAAAUGUUUUCCUUCACAAGCGGCCAGGAUGCACUGAAAGGACAGAUUUACUUCCACUGCAGUGUUGUGAUAUGCGAUUCAAACCGGCCAUCAGACAGCCUCUGUAGCAGACGGUGCAUUCCAGGAAAACAGAGGCUUGGUCGCAGUGCUGAAGGGAUGGAUGGUGGUGCAGUAAAGGCGUUUGUGUCUUCUGGCCCAAUUGAGCUGAAGAGAGAUGGAUCCCUUCACUUUAUGCCUAGAAGUGCCCAAUUCAAUGUGUGGUCCGUUCUGGGAGCUGCAAUGGGUGUGUGUUCAGUGGUUGUCAUUGUAGCUGGAGUUGUAUAUAUUUGGAAAAUGCCCAAAAGUGUGUGUUGAUAAAUAAAAAUCUUGCUUGUAAAGGCUGUUUGGAUUGUG